UGGGGAAUAUUGGACAAUGGGCGAAAGCCUGAUCCAGCCAUGCCGCGUGUGUGAAGAAGGUCUUCGGAUUGUAAAGCACUUUAAGUUGGGAGGAAGGGCAGUAAGCGAAUACCUUGCUGUUUUGACGUUACCGACAGACUAAGCACCGGCUAACUCUGUGCCAGCAGCCGCGGUAAUACAGAGGGUGCAAGCGUUAAUCGGAAUUACUGGGCGUAAAGCGCGCGUAGGUGGUUCGUUAAGUUGAAUGUGAAAGCCCCGGGCUCAACCUGGGAACUGCAUCCAAAACUGGCGAGCUAGAGUAGGGCAGAGGGUGGUGGAAUUUCCUGUGUAGCGGUGAAAUGCGUAGAUAUAGGAAGGAACACCAGUGGCGAAGGCGACCACCUGGGCUCAUACUGACACUGAGGUGCGAAAGCGUGGGGAGCAAACAGG
rnacentral:rRNA from 1 species